CCUACGGGAGGCAGCAGUGAGGAAUAUUGGUCAAUGGACGAGAUUCUGAACCAGCCAAGUAGCGUGAAGGAUGACUGCCCUAUGGGUUGUAAACUUCUUUUAUAUGGGAGUAAAAUGUUCCACGUGUGGGAUUUUGUAUGUACCAUAUGAAUAAGGAUCGGCUAACUCCGUGCCAGCAGCCGCGGUAAUACGGAGGAUCCGAGCGUUAUCCGGAUUUAUUGGGUUUAAAGGGAGCGUAGGUGGAUUGUUAAGUCAGUUGUGAAAGUUUGCGGCUCAACCGUAAAAUUGCAGUUGAAACUGGCAGUCUUGAGAACAGUAGAGGCAGGCGGAAUGCGUGGUGUAGCGGUGAAAUGCUUAGAUAUCACGAAGAACACCGAUUGCGAAGGCAGCUCACUGGACCGCAACUGACACUGAGGCUCGAAAGUGUGGGGAUCAAACAGGAUUAGAUACCCCAGUAGUC
rnacentral:rRNA from 1 species